rnacentral:ncRNA from 1 species
GUUUCGAGGCGGGGUGAAAGUCCUCACCGGUGGUAAAAGCCCACGAGCAGAAAGCUGAUUUGGUGAAAAUCCAAAGCCGACGGUACAGUCCGGACGAUAGAAA